rnacentral:RNase_P_RNA from 1 species
GAAGUGGCUCGGGUGGUCGCGCUAUGCUUCAAUGCAUAGGGAGGAAAGUCCGGGCUGCAUAGAGUAGGAUGCUGGAUAACGUCCAGUGGGGGCAACCCUAGGAAAGUGCCACAGAGACUAAACCGCCUUGUGGCAACACAAGGUAAGGGUGAAAAGGUGUGGUAAGAGCGCACCGCUUGGCUUGGUGACAAGACAAGGCGUAGGUAAACCCCAUCCGCAGCAAGACCAAAUAGGGAGUCGUUAAGCGUUACUCGCGCGUGGCUUCGGGUAGGUUGCUUGAGGCUGCUGGCAACAGUAGUCCAGAUGAAUGAUCAUCACCGCUAUUGAUGUAGUGGUACAAAACCCGGCUUAUAGAGCCACUUCGCAA